rnacentral:tRNA from 1 species
GGAAGGAUGGCCGAGUGGUUGAAGGCGGCGGUCUUGAAAACCGCUACCCGGUAUCCCCGGGUCGGGGGUUCGAAUCCCCCUCCUUCCG